CUAUGUCUCUGUCUCUCUCUCCUUUUCUCUCCUUGCUGCAAUGAGAAGACACAGCAAGAAGACUUCUGUCUGCAAGCAAGGAAGAAGGCUCUCACCAGGAACCGAAUUGGUUAACACCUUUAUCUUGGACUUCCCAGCCUUUAGAACUAAAGACAACUGAAUAAAUUUGGUAGCAGAAUAGGAAGGAACAAAUACAUGAGCAUACUCGGAAUGAGAGAAGACAGCAGCAGUAAUGAAAUUUUUAGCAGCACAUGCCCAUACCGUGGCCCCUUCCUGAUUCCUGUAAUGUACAUGUGGAAUUGACUGUGCAGCUAUGGGCCCUACCUUUGAGGAUGUGCUGUCUUUGGUGCCGCAGAAAUGCAAAAUCAGCAGACACAGAGAAAGCAUGAGGUCCCCCUCCACCGUCACCCAAGCUUUAUCGCCUCUCUCCUAGAUUAUUGCUUCUAGCAUUGAAGGGACAAUGAUAUGUAAAAUAUCCAGGACAAAGGAAACGGAAGAUACAGGUGAAAGUGAGUGAGGAAGCAGAGAAGGCAGAUCUUAGAAAACGGACGAUACCAGGAGUGAAGCCUCAGGCAGAGCCGACCACUACCACCAGCCCAACUGGAUAUACUGUCUGGUUUCUUAAGGAAUUGGUUUCUUCUGGAAAUCAGAGUCUUACCUACUGGUGAAAGGUGACAUGAGUGGAG
ensembl:lncRNA